GCUUAACACAUGCAAGUCGAGGGGCAUCAGGAACAUAGCUUGCUUUCUUUGCUGGCGACCGGCGCACGGGUGAGUAACACGUAUCCAACCUGCCCUUUACUCGGGGAUAGCCUUUCGAAAGAAAGAUUAAUACCCGAUGGCAUAAUGAUUCCGCAUGGUUUCAUUAUUAAAGGAUUCCGGUAAAGGAUGGGGAUGCGUUCCAUUAGGUUGUUGGUGGGGUAACGGCUCACCAAGCCUUCGAUGGAUAGGGGUUCUGAGAGGAAGGUCCCCCACAUUGGAACUGAGACACGGUCCAAACUCCUACGGGAGGCAGCAGUGAGGAAUAUUGGUCAAUGGGCGCUAGCCUGAACCAGCCAAGUAGCGUGAAGGAUGAAGGCUCUAUGGGUCGUAAACUUCUUUUAUAUAAGAAUAAAGUGCAGUAUGUAUACUGUUUUGUAUGUAUUAUAUGAAUAAGGAUCGGCUAACUCCGUGCCAGCAGCCGCGGUAAUACGGAGGAUCCGAGCGUUAUCCGGAUUUAUUGGGUUUAAAGGGAGCGUAGGUGGACUGGUAAGUCAGUUGUGAAAGUUUGCGGCUCAACCGUAAAAUUGCAGUUGAUACUGUCAGUCUUGAGUACAGUAGAGGUGGGCGGAAUUCGUGGUGUAGCGGUGAAAUGCUUAGAUAUCACGAAGAACUCCGAUUGCGAAGGCAGCUCACUGGACUGCAACUGACACUGAUGCUCGAAAGUGUGGGUAUCAAACAGGAUUAGAUACCCUGGUAGUCCACACAGUAAACGAUGAAUACUCGCUGUUUGCGAUAUACAGUAAGCGGCCAAGCGAAAGCAUUAAGUAUUCCACCUGGGGAGUACGCCGGCAACGGUGAAACUCAAAGGAAUUGACGGGGGCCCGCACAAGCGGAGGAACAUGUGGUUUAAUUCGAUGAUACGCGAGGAACCUUACCCGGGCUUAAAUUGCAGUGGAAUGAUGUGGAAACAUGUCAGUGAGCAAUCACCGCUGUGGAGGUGCUGCAUGGUUGUCGUCAGCUCGUGCCGUGAGGUGUCGGCUUAAGUGCCAUAACGAGCGCAACCCUUAUCUUUAGUUACUAACAGGUCAUGCUGAGGACUCUAGAGAGACUGCCGUCGUAAGAUGUGAGGAAGGUGGGGAUGACGUCAAAUCAGCACGGCCCUUACGUCCGGGGCUACACACGUGUUACAAUGGGGGGUACAGAAGGCAGCUAGCGGGUGACCGUAUGCUAAUCCCAAAAUCCUCUCUCAGUUCGGACCGAAGUCUGCAACCCGACUUCGUGAAGCUGGAUUCGCUAGUAAUCGCGCAUCAGCCACGGCGCGGUGAAUACGUUCCCGGGCCUUGUACACACCGCCCGUCAAGCCAUGGGAGCCGGGGGUACCUGAAGUACGUAACCGCAAGGAUCGUCCUAGGGUAAAACUGGUGACUGG
rnacentral:rRNA from 1 species